rnacentral:rRNA from 1 species
AGUGAACGCUGGCGGUAGGCCUAACACAUGCAAGUCAAACGGCAGCACAGUAAGAGCUUGCUCUUACGGGUGGCGAGUGGCGGACGGGUGAGGAAUACAUCGGAAUCUACUUUUUCGUGGGGGAUAACGUAGGGAAACUUACGCUAAUACCGCAUACGACCUACGGGUGAAAGCAGGGGAUCUUCGGACCUUGCGCGAUUGAAUUAGCCGAUGUCGGAUUAGCUAGUUGGCGGGGUAAAGGCCCACCAAGGCGACGAUCCGUAGCUGGUCUGAGAGGAUGAUCAGCCACACUGGAACUGAGACACGGUCCAGACUCCUACGGGAGGCAGCAGUGGGGAAUAUUGGACAAAGGGCGCAAGCCUGAUCCAGCCAUACCGCGUGGGUGAAGAAGGCCUUCGGGUUGUAAAGCCCUUUUGUUGGGAAAGAAAAGCAGCAGGUUAAUACCCCGCUGUUCUGACGGUACCCAAAGAAUAAGCACCGGCUAACUUCGUG